rnacentral:rRNA from 1 species
AAAGGGUGCGUAGGCGGCCGAUUAAGUCUGGGGUGAAAGCCCGUUGCUCAACAACGGAACUGCCCUGGAAACUGGUCGGCUUGAGUACAGACGAGGGUGGCGGAAUGGAUGCUGUAGCGGUGAAAUGCAUAGAUAGCAUCCAGAACCCCGAUUGCGAAGGCAGCUGCCUAGACUGUAACUGACGCUGAGGCACGAAAGCGUGGGGAGCGAACAGGAUUAGAUACCCUGGU